rnacentral:tRNA from 1 species
UGUGUGCGCGGAUCGGUUGGAUCCCGCUCCUGCCGGGAGCGGUGCUCACAGGGACGGGGAUGGUCCUCUUCGCGUACGCGGC